rnacentral:lncRNA from 1 species
UAGUUGCUCAUUUAUACUAUUUAUUAAAGACAAUUUAUAAUUAAAAAUAAAAGUAAAGCUAUAUCAUUUUUAAUUAAAAUUAAACAAAUGAGUAUAGCUGCAUUGCUAUACUAUUUACUGAAAAAUAAAACAGAGCUGCUGCACAGCGCUAUGUGACCACGUGUAAAAUAGUACGGCCGCGCGGCUAUACUAUUUUUAAUAUGAAAAAAGAGGACCCCUUAUAAGGAGCCACGUGUCAACACAAUUCUAUUUCUUUAAAAAAUUAAAACCACAGAGUAUAGCAGUACGACAAUACUUUAAAAAAAAAAGAAAAAAAAAGAAAAGAAAUCCCUCUAUCAUUUAGGCUUCACGUGUCAAAUAUAUGUAUAAUUAUGAAAAAAGAGGAACCCUUAUUAGGCGCCACGUGUCAACACAAGUCUAUUUCUUUUAAAAAAAAUUAAAAACACAUAGUAUCGCCAUGCGGCUAUACUAAUUUAUUUUUUAAAAAAUAAAUCCGUCUAUAUUUAGGCUCCACGUGUCAACACAAGUCUAUUUCUUUAAAAAAAUUAAAAACACAGAGUAUAGCCGUGCGGCUAUACUAAUUUGUUUAAAAAAAAAAGAAAUCCCUCGAUAUUUAGGCUCCACGUGUGAAAGAUAGGUAUAAAUAGGAAAAAACAGGACCCCUUAUUAGGCGCCACGUGUCAACACAAGCUAUUUCUUUAAAAAAACAAAAAAAAAACAAAGUAUAGCCGUGCGGCUAUACUAAUUUAAAAAAAAAAAAGUAAUCCCUCUAUUAUUUAGGCUCCACGUGUCAAAGAAAGAUAUAAAUAUGAAAAAAGAGGACCGCUUAUUAGGCGCCACGUGUCAACACAACGUAUUUCUUUAAAAAAAUAAAAACACAGAGUAUAGCCGUAUGGCUAUACUAAUUAUAAAAAAAAAAAAAGUAAUCCCUCUAUUAUUUAGGCUCCACGUGUCAAAGAAAGAUAUAAAUAUGAAAAAAGAGGACCGCUUAUUAGGCGCCACGUGUCAACACAAGCUAUUUCUUUAAAAAAAUAAAAAACACAGAGUAUAGCCGUGCGGCGAUACUAAUUAAAAAAAAAAAGAGAAAUACAAAAUUCAGUUUUAGCAAUAAAAAAAAAAAGUCUUUAGAAAAAAGCCAAAGCCUUUUCGUAAAUGACCAAAACACUCCUCAACUUUAAUCCUAAAGACAUGCAAAGACUCAAAUAGAAAUAUUAGUAGUCUUCAGCCAUUUUUGUUUGUUAGCAGCUUUUAGAAAAUCAAAGCAUAGCAUGUGAACUUCAGCCAGCCAUUUCGUCCGUUAGCAUCUUUUAGAAAAUCAAAGCACAGCAGCAUGUAAGCUCCCAGAGAUGUCAUUUAGCUUUAUGCAUGUGAAUUCCUUGUAUCUAUGUGUGAGAAGACAUGUGAAUUACAUACGAGGUGUGUGUGGAGUGUUCGGAUAGAGAAACAGAUAGAGAGGAAAAAGGGAAGGAGGCUCCUCUUUCUCAUCCUUAAGCUUUUCUGGAAAAGAAUGAAGUCGGUGAACUCAUGUAUAUAGCCUGCAGCUCCGAAGAAGAGAAGUACAUCAGGGAAGAAAAAAUCCCAAUACUUCAUCUUUCAGUUUCAAUAAAUAAAAAUCCUUUUGUUUAUAUACUUUCUCUUAUUCUUCAUAUCCUUCAAGCAUUGUUAAAUAUCACCAACAACUGAUUAGUAUCCAGUGCAUAACAAUUCCAGCAAAAGCAAUUAAGUAAGUCUUUUUCUCUUUUAAUUGGUUUUCUUAGGAGACUUCUUGUCCAAAACAAGGAAACACUGUUCAUAAUUAUGUUGUUAUAUUGCUAAACUGACGAUCAAUACUUUGUUUGAGCACUUGGUCAUGUUUGAUAUUUGCCAUAACAAUAAUUGGAUGUCUGUCAGGGAACCUCUGAGUUCAGAGGACCUCUGAGUUCUGCUCCAUAGCCCUUUAAGUUGGUGUCUUUGCAGUUCCAUGUUCUAGGCAUGGUGUCUGGUUGUUAUUUUGGCUUUUAGAAACCUUGACCGAGAUCCCCUGAAAAAUAAGUUUUCAGGCUUCCAUCAUGUUGUCUAUAUUAUGUAGUUCUUCUUCUCCUAAGCUAUUCCAGUAUGCAUUGUUGUUGUCUUCUUCUGAAAUUUGUUCUGCUAACUGGUUAUAGAUUUCAUAAAAAACUUGUGCUCCUGUUGUGCUUAUCCGGUAUUCAUAUGUGUCAUCUAGUCUCUUAGUUGUAGAUUCUGAAUAUACCUUGACAAACUUGGAUUGGUAAAGGAGGGUCAGAAGAUCAUCAUUGAAUAGUUGUUGCUCGGUACACCAUCACCAGGUGGUAAUCCAUUAAGCACAAGUAGUCAAGAAAGACCAGUAAUGAAUACUUAUUUUUAUAAUGGAAUUUCCUUACAAGAAGUUAGAAAUCCUGCUUUAAAGUAUCGUACUCAAGAAUCAUUAGCGUAUAAACAAAAAGUUUUUUUUAGACAACUUUUGGAACAUUAGAAUUAAUACUGAAAGCAUAAGAAAAGGGCAUGAAAAACUUAUUAGAGCCCUUGAGCAAGAGUUUUUAGCAUAUAAUUAUGAUUAUAAAAAAGCAAAACAACAACUUUCUUUUUUGCAGGAAAAACAUAGAGAGCAGAAGAAGGAAUAUGAUACAAUAGUGAAGCAUUUAGAAUCAUUAAUUUAAGAUGUCAAAUUCUACAAGAAAAAUAGGCUAAUAAGCCCACCUUACUUGAGCAUAAUAGUAAAUUUUCACUUGAGCAAAAAACUAAAAAUCCAUAUUUUCUUCAAACUCUAGCUAGAGAAAGGUAUAAAUUUUUACCAUCAGAUAUUAAGAGUCAUAUAAUUAAAUUAGAAUAUGAGCAAAAUACAUCUCUUCAACUAUAUAUCCAAG